GGGUUGUGAGGUUAAGCGACCAAGCGUACACGGUGGAUGCCCUGGCAGUCAGAGGCGAUGAAGGACGUGCUAAUCUGCGAAAAGCGCCGGUAAGGUGAUAUGAACCGUUAUAGCCGGCGAUGUCCGAAUGGGGAAACCCAGUGUGAUUCGUCACACUAUCAUUAACUGAAUCCAUAGGUUAAUGAGGCGAACCGGGGGAACUGAAACAUCUAAGUACCCCGAGGAAAAGAAAUCAACCGAGAUUCCCCCAGUAGCGGCGAGCGAACGGGGAGGAGCCCAGAGCCUGAAUCAGCAUGUGUGUUAGUGGAAGCGUCUGGAAAGGCGCGCGAUACAGGGUGACAGCCCCGUACACAAAAGCGCACGUGCUGUGAGCUCGAUGAGUAGGGCGGGACACGUGGUAUCCUGUCUGAAUAUGGGGGGACCAUCCUCCAAGGCUAAAUACUCCUGACUGACCGAUAGUGAACCAGUACCGUGAGGGAAAGGCGAAAAGAACCCCGGCGAGGGGAGUGAAACAGAACCUGAAACCGUGUACGUACAAGCAGUGGGAGCCCCACCACUAAGCCAGUGGUGAACUCCACAUACGCAUCCUUUGCUGAGGAUACGGUUAACGGAGCGAAAGCGACGUUCAACCACAAAAGAAGCAGAGGGGCUUAGUGGUGGGGUGACUGCGUACCUUUGUAUAAUGGGUCAGCGACUUAUAUUCUGUAGCAAGGUUAACCGCAUAGGGAGCCGGAGGAAACCGAGUCUUAACCGGGCGUUAAGUUGCAGGGUAUAGACCCGAAACCCGGUGAUCUAGCCAUGGGCAGGUUGAAGGUUGGGUAACACUAACUGGAGGACCGAACCGACUAAUGUUGAAAAAUUAGCGGAUGACCUGUGGCUGGGGGUGAAAGGCCAAUCAAACCGGGAGAUAGCUGGUUCUCCCCGAAAGCUAUUUAGGUAGCGCCUCGUGAAUUCAUCUCCGGGGGUAGAGCACUGUUUCGGCCAGGGGGCCAUCCCGGCUUACCAAUCCGAUGCAAACUGCGAAUACCGGAGAAUGUUAUCACGGGAGACACACGGCAGGUGCUAACGUCCGUCGUGAAGAGAAACAACAGACCGCCAGCUAAGGUCCCAAAGUCAUGGUUAAGUGGGAAACGAUGUGGGAAGGCCCAGACAGCCAGGAUGUUGGCUUAGAAGCAGCCAUCAUUUAAAGAAAGCGUAAUAGCUCACUGGUCGAGUCGGCCUGCGCGGAAGAUGUAACGGGGCUAAACCAUGCACCGAAGCUGCGGCAGCGACACUGAUGUGUUGUUGGGUAGGGGAGCGUUCUGUAAGCCGUUGAAGGUGGCCUGUGAGGGUUGCUGGAGGUAUCAGAAGUGCGAAUGCUGACAUAAGUAACGAUAAAGCGGGUGAAAAGCCCGCUCGCCGGAAGACCAAGGGUUCCUGUCCAACGUUAAUCGGGGCAGGGUGAGUCGACCCCCUAAGGCGAGGCCGAAAGGCGUAGUCGAUGGGAAACGGGUUAAUAUUCCCGUACUUGGUGUUACUGCGAAGGGGGGACGGAGAAGGCUAUGUUGGCCGGGCGACGGUUGUCCCGGUUUAAGCGUGUAGGUGUGUGUUCCAGGUAAAUCCGGUUCACUUUAACACUGAGGCGUGAUGACGAGGCACUACGGUGCUGAAGCAACAAAUGCCCUGCUUCCAGGAAAAGCCUCUAAGCCUCAGGUAACAUCAAAUCGUACCCCAAACCGACACAGGUGGUCAGGUAGAGAAUACCAAGGCGCUUGAGAGAACUCGGGUGAAGGAACUAGGCAAAAUGGUGCCGUAACUUCGGGAGAAGGCACGCUGACACGUAGGUGAAGUGGUUUACCCAUGGAGCUGAAGUCAGUCGAAGAUACCAGCUGGCUGCAACUGUUUAUUAAAAAACACAGCACUGUGCAAACACGAAAGUGGACGUAUACGGUGUGACGCCUGCCCGGUGCCGGAAGGUUAAUUGAUGGGGUCAGCGCAAGCGAAGCUCCUGAUCGAAGCCCCGGUAAACGGCGGCCGUAACUAUAACGGUCCUAAGGUAGCGAAAUUCCUUGUCGGGUAAGUUCCGACCUGCACGAAUGGCGUAAUGAUGGCGGGCUGUCUCCACCCGGGACUCAGUGAAAUUGAACUCGCUGUGAAGAUGCAGUGUACCCGCGGCAAGACGGAAAGACCCCGUGAACCUUUACUAUAGCUUGACACUGAACACUGGUCCUUGAUGUGCAGGAUAGGUGGGAGGCUUUGAAGUGUGGACGCCAGUCUGCAUGGAGCCAUCCUUGAAAUACCACCCUUUAAUGGCUGGUGUUCUAACGUGGGCCCGUGAACCGGGUUGCGGACAGUGUCUGGUGGGUAGUUUGACUGGGGCGGUCUCCUCCUAAAGAGUAACGGAGGAGCACGAAGGUUGGCUAAUCUGGUCGGACAUCAGGAGGUUAGUGCAAUGGCAUAAGCCAGCUUGACUGCGAGCGUGACGGCGCGAGCAGGUGCAAAGCAGGUCAUAGUGAUCCGGUGGUUCUGAAUGGAAGGGCCAUCGCUCAACGGAUAAAAGGUACUCCGGGGAUAACAGGCUGAUACCGCCCAAGAGUUCAUAUCGACGGCGGUGUUUGGCACCUCGAUGUCGGCUCAUCACAUCCGGGGCUGAAGUAGGUCCCAAGGGUAUGGCUGUUCGCCAUUUAAAGUGGUACGCGAGCUGGGUUUAGAACGUCGUGAGACAGUUCGGUCCCUAUCUGCCGUGGGCGCUGGAAGAUUGAGGGGCUGCUCCUAGUACGAGAGGACCGGGUGGACGCAUCACUGGUGUUCGGGUUGUCAUGCCAAUGGCACUGCCCGGUAGCUACAUGCGGAAGAGAUAAGUGCUGAAAGCAUCUAAGCACGAAACUUGCCCCGAGAUGAAUCUUCCCUGAGCCUUUAAGGCUCCUGAAGGAACGUUGAAGACGACGACGUUGAUAGGCCGGAUGUGUAAGCGCAGCGAUGCGUUGAGCUAACCGGUACUAAUGAACCGUGAGGCUUAACCUUACAACGCCGAAG
rnacentral:rRNA from 1 species